GCGGGAGUAGCUCAGUUGGUAGAGCGCAACCUUGCCAAGGUUGAGGGCGAGAGUUCGAGACUCUUCUCCCGCUCCA
rnacentral:tRNA from 1 species